rnacentral:tRNA from 1 species
GCGCCGGUGGUGUAAGGCGAACAUCGCUGCCCGGAAAGCAGAAGAUGCGGGUUCGAGUCCCGCGUGGCGCA